rnacentral:rRNA from 1 species
AACGUAGGAGACAAACGUUAUCCGGAGUUACUGGGCGUAAAGGGCGUGUAGGUGGUUUUGUAAGUCUGGCGUGAAAUUUUUCGGCUUAACCGGGAAAGGUCGUCGGAUACUGCAAGGCUAGAGGACGGUAGAGGCGUGUGGAAUUCCGGGUGUAGUGGUGAAUGACGUAGAGAUCCGGAGGAACACCAGUGGCGAAGGCGACACGCUGGGCCGUACCUGACACUGAUGCGCGACAGCAUGGGGAGCAAACAGG